GAUUGUAGCUUCCACAGAUGAAAUCUUGCUGGAGAAAACAAAAACACAGUUGAAAGACUACAGAAUGAACAGAAGAUUGUUCCUCUACUACCCGAGUCUUCAGCACCAGACCGUGAGAAUAGCCAUCUUCAGCCUUCAUCUGCAGUCUCGUUGCACAAAACCACAGGUACAGGAUGUCUGUCUCUGACCUGUCGAGAGAACAGACUGUGCUUUUGUUGGGACCUUGGCAAUCACAAAACAUCCAGAGGAUCCAUUGCACAAUGAUGCAGAAUUGAGCAGACUACAGGACAGCCAAUGAACUAUAACCACAUCACAUUCAAUCUAUAAUGGUCUGACAUAGAAGAUAACAAUAAGGCUACACAUAGCCAUAACUAACUCCACUUGUUAAUUGUGGUCAAAAAGGUUGUUUUUUUGUACUUUGAUAUGUCAAAAAUCUUUGUAUAUAAUAUGUUUAGAGGGGUUUUUUUGUUCUGGUUGUGGCUCAGUGGCUAUAUCCACUGUUCUGGAUUCACUGCUGUUUACCUAAGCAGGAGCAGGUGCUUGCAGAAGAAUCCCCCAGGAUUUCAUCUUCAUGUGAAGCAUGCUUACCAUUCACAUAUUUGAUACCCUGUUCACUAUCAGUGUGUAGAGGAGAAAUAGAGAAAGAUGGAUUUCUGAUAUCC